AUGGGAGUGUCCACUUUGUUGCAACUGCAUCACCUUCUGCCUCUGACCAAUCAUGCCUCCUUCACUCCUCCGUAUCUGGUUGCUCUGGGAGAGUUCCCCAUAAUCUUUGUGGACAAACUCGCCAUCUCAAAGUCAGGAAAUGACUGGACCAAUUCUCAGGCCGUGGUGACCCAGGAGACUUCAAUGACUGUGUCCCCAGGAGGGACAGUCACUCUCACCUCUGCCUCCAGCACCGGAGCAGUCACCAAUGCUCACUAUCCAUACUGGUUCCAGCAGAAGCCUGGCCAAUCCCCUAGGACAUUGAUUUUCAACACAAACAGCAAACACUCCUGGACCCCUGCCCGGUUCUCAGGUUCCCUUCUUGGGGGCAAAGCUGCCCUGACCCUCACAGGGGCCCAGCCCGAGGACGAGGGCAAAUACCACUGCUGGCUGGUAUAUGAUGGUGUUAGGCACAGUGUUGGAUUCAGAUGA